UACGUAGGGUGCGAGCGUUGUCCGGAAUUAUUGGGCGUAAAGGGCGCGUAGGCGGCUUGGCAAGUGGAUGGUGAAAUCCCUCGGCUUAACCGAGGAACUGCCGUCCAAACUGCUUCGCUUGAGACCGGGAGAGGUGAGUGGAAUUCCCAGUGUAGCGGUGAAAUGCGUAGAUAUUGGGAGGAACACCAGUGGCGAAGGCGGCUCACUGGACCGGUACUGACGCUGAUGCGCGAAAGCGUGGGGAGCAAACGGG
rnacentral:rRNA from 1 species